UCACUGACCUAUCAUUAAAAUGCACCAAGCAAUUGCAAACAUUCUUAAAUCAAAUUAGAAGAGGGGGCACUAAGUAAAGAAAUAGAAGAUAUAACAAAGAACCAAAUAGAAAAAACUAGAAAUGAAAAUUCAACAAGUAAAUUUUUAAAAAUUACUGGAGCCUUCUGCCACGGCCGCCUCUGGAGAGCAGCAGCCAUGGCUCUACGCUACCCUACGGCUGUGGGCCUCAACAAGGGCCACGAGGUGACCAAGAACCUGAGCAAGCCCAGGCACAGCCGCCGCCGCGGGCGUCUGACCAAACACACCAAGUUCGUGCGGGACAUGAUUCGGGAGGUGUGUGGCUUUGCCCCGUAGGAGCAGCGCGCCAUGGAGUUACUGAAGGUCUCCAAGGCCAAACGGGCCCUCAAGUUUAUCAAGAAAAGGGUGGGGACACACAUCCGCGCCAAGAGGAAGCGGGAGGAGCUGGGCAACGUACUGGCCGCCACGAGGAAAGCUGCUGCCAAGAAAGACUUAGCCCCUCCCCUGCCCUCUCCCUGAAAUGAAGAACAGCUUGACA